rnacentral:lncRNA from 1 species
AUGCAAUAUCAGCAGCUCCCGAAGCCACCGGAGACCAAGAAACCGCUAGAAAGAAACGUCGGUGCAGAGGCUGGCUUUCAAGUCCGUGGUGAUCCGCUCCCAUCCUUCAAAGCUGCAUCGAUGGAGCUGACUUUGGAGAUGCCCCAGUGCUGGCUCAUUAACUUCUGCUGCUCAGGAGAUACCACCCAAACCACAAGUGGGCUGCUCAUCUCAGACACCCGACCUUCACGCUCCUCGCAGGGAUCCUGGUGCUUGUACGAGGACCAGGAGAGGGAUUUGCUGCCGGUGAAGGCCGUGGCAGGUGAGUGGCUUUUGCUCCUGCCAUGGACCUGCUGCCUGCUUGGUUUUUAGCAUUGCUCAGUGCAUCUUGUUCUGCAAUCACCGUGCUGUCUGUUCGGGCUGAA